GUCCCCUUCGUCUAGUGGUUAGGACAUAAGAUUUUCAUUCUUAUAACAGGGGUUCAAUUCCCCUAGGGGAUG
rnacentral:tRNA from 1 species